rnacentral:rRNA from 1 species
CAGUAGCCACGGGAAUACGAAGGGGGCUAGCGUUGUUCGGAUUUACUGGGCGUAAAGCGCACGUAGGCGGAUCGAUCAGUCAGGGGUGAAAUCCUGGAGCUCAACUCCAGAACUGCCUUUGAUACUGUCGAUCUCGAGUCCGGAAGAGGUGAGUGGAACUCCUAGUGUAGAGGUGGAAUUUGUAGAUAUUGGGAAGAACACCGGUGGCGAAGGCGGCAACCUGGCUCAUUACUGACGCUGAGGCGCGAAAGCGUGGGGAGCAAACAGGAUUAGAGACCCCUGUAGUCCCUGUCUCUUAUAC